UGUGAUUAACCCGGGGUUACCCUACUUAUAAGAGGGGGAUAACUUCGGAAACCCGGACCUAAUCCCGGAAAACUUUGGAACCCGCGGGGUUCUAAAGGAAAAGAGGGUUUUGCUAUCAUUUAAAGAUGGCCCCGCGCCGUAUUAGUUAUUUGGUAAGGAAACGGUUUACCAGGGCAACAAUCCGUACCCAACCUGAGGGGGUGACCGCCCCCCCGGAAACUGAAACCCGGCCCAAACCCCUACGGGAGGCACCAGUAGGGAAUCUUCCGAAAGGGGCAAAAGCCUGACGGACCAACGCCGGGGGAGUGAUAAAGGUUUCCGCCUCGUAAAACUCUUUUUUUAGGAAAAAAAAAAGGUGAAAUUAACUGGGCCCUUUUUGACGGUCCCAAAUCAAAAACCCACGGUUAACUCCGUGCCACCACCCGGGGUAAUACGUAGGGGGCAAGCUUUAUCCGAAAUAUUUGGGAG
rnacentral:rRNA from 1 species